CCUACGGGAGGCAGCAGUGGGGAAUAUUGCACAAUGGGGGAAACCCUGACGCAGCUACGCCGCGUGAGUGCCGAAGUCAUUCGUUAUGUAAAGUUCUAUCAACAGGGAAGAAAAUGCCAGUACGUCACUAAGAAGCCCCAGCUAACUACGUGCACGCCGCCGCGGUAAUACGAAGGGGGCACGCGUUAUCCGGAUCUACUGGGUGUAACGGGAGCGUAGACGGCAGUGCAAGUCAGGAGUGAAAGGCGGGGGCUCAACCCCCGGACUGCUCUUGAAACUGGACGUCGUGAGUGCAGGAGAGGUCAGUGGAAGUCCUAGUGUAGCGGUGAAAUGCGUAGAUAUGAGGAGGAAUACCAGUGGCGAAGGCGGCUUACUGGACUGUAACUGACGUUGAGGCGCGAAAGCGUGGGGAGCAAACAGGAUUAGAUACCCUAGUAGUC
rnacentral:rRNA from 1 species